AAGAAGCCUUAACUUCAACGUAUGGAACUACAGGGAAGUAGUUACUUUUGAUCUCAUCCCCUAGGUAACGUGUGUUGUGAGCUUCAGAGCCUGGUGACCACGUCAUCGUCCACUCCAUACCCUGCACGUUCAUGGUAGUUCUUGUCUUUAUAUAAAUGAUGCAUUAUGACUACAAACUGGGUAGAGCUUCACGCAGGGAUGUUUGUGAUCUGAUGUGAUUUAUUCUUCACUUUCCAGAAGGGGGACAUUUUCAUCAGUUACCCAAGGAGUCAGUACUUGCUGCACUGAGUGGAGAAGAUUGUGUGCCCACAGUUGGUGCAGGGGAGGUGCAUGGGGCCUUCACUGCGGCUAAGACCUCUCAUCCUCCACGGACGCACAGGCACAUGAGCCCCAUGCAUUGCACGGACAAUGCCAAGGACGAUGCAUUGAUUCACUUGGGAGACAACCCACCUGGAAGAACUUCAGAUCCAUUCCAACUCCAGUGCUCUAAGUAGUAGUCUCAGUACUACUGUUAUCGAAGGUGUGAUUGUUAGUGAAGGAAAGAUGGAUGUUUUUCCCAACAUCGACAAAAAGACAAUUUUCCUGUAAGAGUAUCUCUCGUGACUGGGAAUGUUUAAGGGAAGGGUGUCUCAGCCUCUCUGGCUCAUCAACAAUAAUUUAUUAUGAGUCCUAUUAUUUAUAAGCCCUCCCCAGGCUUACGAAGGGUUUCAGCUUAUAUGUCAUUUUCUUUCCUUCACCCCUACGGGAUGGGAAGCAUCCCUGUGUCCCUGCAUAGAAAGGCGCCAGGCUGGGUUCAUGUAAAUAUUUCAACUUUGUGUUCAGAAAAGAAAUGAUUACAGGCCAAAGUUAUAUUCUAACUCACUUAAAACAAGAGAGAAAUUAAUUUUAACAGAAUCUAUUGAUGAAGAAGGAUGAAUAUAUGAUUCAUUCCCUUUCUUGAUUUAAUAUGGAUUUUUAUUCCAUGUAGUAUUACUUCCUGAGUGCAAAGACUAAAUUCAUCUUUUACUUUUCAAUCAGUUAUCAUCUUAUCAUCGAAUAGAACACAAUUAAUUGGACACUUAGUUUAUUCAAUCAUUGUAGUUGCCAAAAAAACAAUAAACUAUUCAAUUUUU